GUGGGGUCCUCAGAGGAGUCUGCCCAAGGUCACACAGUGGGUGGGGAGGGAAGUGUGUGUGUACUCACACUUAUGUGCAAAGGGAAGGAAUGGGAAGGGAAACUGAGACCUUUAACAUUAGCACCACAGCUGGUGACUGGCACUUUCCAACUUGCCUCCAGGAGCUGCUGCCUCUGGGAAGAGAAUAAAGAGAACGCCGUGGCACAUUCCCACUUGUCUGCCGCCAUCCCUCUCCCAGCUCCCCCCGCACCUAGUCCGUGUGGGAGGAGGGUCAGCUCUGCUGUUCCCACAAUGUUCUCCUUUUCCGUCCAUCAGCUCGGGCUGAGCAAAGAAGUGGCAUCGGGGCCCUCCCUCCACAGCGCAUCAUGGCGGUGGAAAUGAUGCUUCCCAGUCCGGUGAUCCACCUGCAGGCUGCCCCCAGCCUUGAAAUGGAUUAAGAGGACAAAGACAGCAGGUCGGUGCAAAAUGGCACUGGGCAGCCAAACCACAGGAAGAAGAGGAAUUGACAGCCAUUCAGCAAACAGAAGACACUUGACUGAACCCAGAAAUGAGGCAGACGCCUAUGCCUGACUUUUAGGAGGAAAAGGAACAUGACCAACAGUUUUCUUAGAGAGGGUUUAUCAGAAGAGAAAAUGAUUCAUAGCAUGCGUGCCAGGGUGGGCACACAAGGGGUCAUUCUGAGUCCAGAGUCCUGGUCACCGGCAUCCCCAAGCCCAGUGCCAGGAGUCCAUGAUGCCCUUUGCUGUAUCAGCCAGGCUGCCAUCUCAGAAAGAUUCCUCCAUGCCCGAGGAAUGGAGCAACAAGGGUUUUCACUCACAGAACCUGAAACCCAAGAAACCUGAGACUCUGCUCCUCAGCCCAUGGAUUGACCGGGAUUUUACUGUGUUUACCCCAGCAGAGGGCAGAGCAGUAGCGCUCUCUCCUCUCCCCUCCCCUCCCCACCUCCAGGUCCACAGUAGAGGAAAUGCUCCUUAGCAAAAGUGUGGCUUCUCCAGGGGUGGCGAAGCUGAAAGGCUGAUUAGAUUCCGAGACCUUCCCUAGGUGUUACGAAGAUCCUGAUGUUAGUGCUUCAAGCGUCAGCAGUGGGGACCGUGCCAGGAGGUGCAUAGGAACACGCGCGGGGGCUGAAGCCUCCCUCACCAGGGCUUUCCUCCAUCCCUUAUAUGGUGACCUUGACCCCAUUGAGAUCCUAUCUGGCCCCAUUUCCAUCUGAGAUCUCUGCAACACCACACAACCUCUCCUCUUUUAGCAAAGCGGGGUCUGGCUGUUGUUCAUGGGGUGGACCCCAGAACUGAAAAGAACAAGAAUCAAGUGAUG
rnacentral:lncRNA from 1 species